rnacentral:rRNA from 1 species
UCGGGAAUUUUGGGCAAUGGGCGAAAGCCUGACCCAGCAACGCCGCGUGAGGGAUGAAGUAUUUCGGUAUGUAAACCUCGAAAGAAUGGGAAGAAUAAAUGACGGUACCAUUUAUAAGCUCCGGCUAACUACGUGCCAGCAGCCGCGGUAAUACGUAGGGAGCAAGCGUUGUUCGGAUUUACUGGGCGUAAAGGGCGCGUAGGCGGCGCGGUAAGUCACUUGUGAAAUCUCUGAGCUUAACUCAGAACGGCCAAGUGAUACUGCUGGGCUAGAGUGCGGAAGAGGCAACCGGAAUUCUUGGUGUAGCGGUGAAAUGCGUAGAUAUCAAGAGGAACACCGGAGGCGAAGGCGGGUUGCUGGGCCGACACUGACGCUGAUGCGCGAAAGCCAGGGGAGCAAACG